rnacentral:tRNA from 1 species
AUGGGUGUAGCUCAGCACGGUCAGAGCGCUGGUCUCCAAAACCAGAUGUCGCAGGUUCGACUCCUGCCACCCAUGC